rnacentral:lncRNA from 1 species
ACGGCCGAGAAGAUCGACGAAGAGCUCCGCCUCCUCGCGCGCCGCCCGACGCGAAGGCUCUUGUCGAGCAGGGGGGGCAACGGGUCUCCUCCCCGAGGCUUGACCGCUCCAGCUGCAGCAUGCCCGCCGUGAAGGAGACGACAGCAGCAGCGCCAUAUUUGUCGUCAAGUGCACCGUCUCAGGGCACCGAGCUCCCAAGACGGCGCCGCCGCCGCGCCAGCAACAUUUCCGG